UACGGAGGGUGCUAGCGUUGUUCGGAAUCACUGGGCGUAAAGGGCGCGUAGGCGGCCUUGCAAGUCGGUUGGUGAAAGCCCGGGGCUCAACCCCGGAGGUGCGGCCGAGACUGCAGGGCUGGAGGCAGGAAGAGGAGGGUGGAAUACCCAGUGUAGAGGUGAAAUUCGUAGAUAUUGGGUGGAACACCGGUGGCGAAAGCGGCUCUCUGGUCCGGACCUGACGCUGAGGCGCGAAAGCGUGGGGAGCAAACAGG
rnacentral:rRNA from 1 species